rnacentral:misc_RNA from 1 species
GAUGAAGAACGUAGCGAAAUGCGAUAAGUAAUGUGAAUUGCAGAAUUCAGUGAAUCAUCGAAUCUUUGAACGCACAUUGCGCCCGCCAGUAUUCUGGCGGGCAUGCCUGUUCGAGCGUCAUUUCAACCAUCAAGCCCCCGGCUUGUGUUGGGGACCUGCGGCUGCCGCAGGCCCUGAAAACCAGUGGCGGGCUCGCUGUCACACCGAGCGUAGUAGAUUUUCAUCUCGCUCAGGGCGUGCAGCGGGUUCCGGCCGUGAAACCCCCUACUUUUAAAGGUUGACCUCGGAUCAGGUAGGAAUACCCGCUGAACUUAAGCAUAUCAAUAAGCGGAGGA